AAUGGGAUAAGUGGAUCAAAUGGUUCCAUUCCACGUUUUCUGAGGAAUCUCCAUACUGCUUUCCAGAGUGGUUGUGCCAAUUUGCAGUCCCACCAGCAAU
rnacentral:pre_miRNA from 1 species